AGCCAGCAGAACAGCCCAUUAGAGAGGUGGCCACCCCCACAGAGAAGCCAGCAGAACAGCCCACUAGAGAGGUGGCCACCCCCACAGAGAAGCCAGCAGAACAGCCCAUUAGAGAGGUGGCCACCCCCACAGAGAAGCCAGCAGAACAGCCCAUUAGAGAGGUGGCCACCCCCACAGAGAAGCCAGCAGAACAGCCCAUUAGAGAGGUGGCCACCCCCACAGAGAAGCCAGCAGAACAGCCCAUUGGAGAGGUGGCCACCCCCACAGAGAAGCCAGCAGAACAGCCCAUUGGAGAGGUGGCCACCCCAUCGAACUAGGGUCACCCAGCCACAUAACAAUACACAUAGGCACAAGGGAGUGAUUGAAGAGGCGUGAUUGAAAAGUGAUUGAAAAAGCUUCUUAUAUUUUCCCCAACGCACAAGUGGUGAUCUCUCCACCCUGCUUGAGGCAAAAGAAACACACCUAUUUAGACGAGGUGCUGGCUAGUGGAGUAGAACACUUGAACAAAAAUAUUUAUGUCCAACGUUUCAACAGACAAGCUGUCUUCAUCUCCACCCUGCUACCAUACAGCGGGUAAAUGCAUGUAUGUUCCUGUGACUGUGCCUCAAAACCAAAUGUCUACCUGGCCCACCAUCCACCCUGGACUUGACGAGCAGGUCCACCUAUACGAGGCAGCAGUGCCCACCAACGCCCGGACCCUGAAGGAUAUCGCCCUCAACCGCAGCCCCGUCACCUCACACAGGAGCAACAGAUCAAUAGACACCCGCCCAGACCAGUGAGACACUCUCCCAGACCUGCGGGACCCCCCCGGACCCACGCCGAGAGGAACUACAUUCCGACCACAGCACCAG